rnacentral:sRNA from 1 species
GGGUCAUAUGGAGUAACCGCAAGGUGAAAGACGACCCUAGCAAAAGGAGAGAUGCUCCCUUGGGUGAAAAUCCCUAAAACUGCUCUGCCCGGGAGGGCAGAAUAGGGCAUAACCUGUCGCAGACAGCCGAUGCUCUAUCUUUUGAUGCCUGUGCACGGACGCUUCUUGCAUGGUGGGCGACUGUGCCAUACCCCAUUUCAUGUGUACAGGCAACGCAGCUUAGACGGCACCCUACAAUGCAGCUGUACGAAAGGCGAAUACUUCUAU